rfam:Capsella rubella cultivar Monte Gargano unplaced genomic scaffold scaffold_6, whole genome shotgun sequence.
GUCACCUUCGAGGACAUCUGAUAAAAUUGGAACGAUACAGAGAAGAUUAGCAUGGCCCCUGCGCAAGGAUGAGAUGCAUAAAUUGAGAUAUGGUCCAAUUUUUU